GUUAUGGCUCAGCGGUAGAGCACUCGCCUUGCAUGUGCGAAGCCCUGGGUUCUAUCCUCAACAUCACA
rnacentral:tRNA from 1 species